rnacentral:rRNA from 1 species
CAAUAGCGUAUAUUAAAGUUGUUGCAGUUAAGAAGCUCGUAGUUGGAUUUGUGGUGUACUUCGGCGGCCCGUCACUAUGUGAUGGAGCUUGCUGAAGUCGCCAUCCUUGGGUGGAUCCUGUGUGGCAUUAAGUUGUCGUGCAGGGGAUGCCCAUCGUUUACUGUGAAAAAAUUAGAGUGUUCAAAGCAGGCUUAUGCCGUUGAAUAUAUUAGCAUGGAAUAAUAAGAUAGGACCUUGGUACUAUUUUGUUGGUUUGCGCACCAAGGUAAUGAUUAAUAGGGACAGUUGGGGGUAUUCGUAUUUCAUUGUCAGAGGUGAAAUUCUUGGAUUUUUGAAAGACGAACUACUGCGAAAGCAUUUACCAAGGAUGUUUUCAUUAA